rnacentral:rRNA from 1 species
GCCCCCGCCGGGAUAGCCCAGGGAAACCUGGAUUAAUACCGGAUGAGACGGGACCCGCGAAGGCGGGACCCGGGAAAGGCGCUGCGGCGCCGCCGGGGGAUGAGUCUGCGUCCCAUUAGCUAGACGGCGGGGUAACGGCCCACCGUGGCGACGAUGGGUAGCCGGCCUGAGAGGGUGACGGCCACAUUGGAACUGAGACACGGUCCAGACUCCUACGGGAGGCAGCAGCUAAGAAUCUUCCGCAAUGGGCGAAAAGCCUGACGGAGCGAACCGCCGCGUGAACGAAGAAGGCCGUGAGGUUGUAAAGUUCUUUUCGGGAGGGGGAACAACCGUGGCAGGGAAUGGCCGCGGGAUGACGUGAAUCCCGGAAUAAGCCCCCGGCUAACUACGUGCCAGCCGCCGC